UGGAGCACAAGUCUUUAAAAGGGGCUGACCGUGACGUGGGCGUUUGUCUACAUCCUGCUUGCUUGCUGGAUCCACGUGGGAACCUAGGAUUUGGUGGCUAUUGGACACUUGGUGUUGGAGUCAUCUGGCCACAGCUGCCAGUCGUGCAAAUGACUUCUGCAGGAAAUUGCUCUUUCAGAGUGUCCAUUUACAGAGGCAGGAAUGCAGACUGAAAAAUUCUUAAGAAUGGAAGCUCCUUGCUGGUGACAAGAAGCUGGCAAAUGCUUCAUUAUCACCUCAGCAGCAUUGUGAAUCAUCAGAAUACCAGCCAUUAGUCUGCAGUGUAAAGGAGUAGCUGCUGUUAUAGUGAAAUCUCACGAAAACCUAGUAACGUGGUGACUGCUCUGCUUUUUUAUUGCAGUGGCCUCAGCCUACUCUUUACCUGAACAUCCUUUCCUUUCUGUAAUUUCUGCUGCAAUGUGCACAAAAUUGCAUUUCUCCUAUUUUGAAACUGGUAUAUAGGUCAAGCAGCUGAACUAGAGAAACAUCCUUUGGUACAGAAAAAGGAGUCUACAGAACCAUGGCUGAUUUUGUGCACCUUGUCUGCGUGAAGAAUAAUCCUAGUGUAAUACCUGCAUUUCGGAUACUACUUUACCCAGUUGAGCCAGGGCAGUUGAUGGCUCCAUUUGUCAGAUAAUUGCCUACUGAGGAGUUUUCAAGAAUAUGCAAACAGAAGAUGACUUUUUCUCUUGUCUCCACCUGAUUGUUUCCUUGCCUGCAAGCUGAAUCUCUGCCGUCCUCUUCUUUAUUUUGCUUUGCACAAACAUUCUCACAGGAUGUGUUGGUAACCAGUGGGUGACUGGCUGUGGUCUUAGGACAGGGUAGAUAAGAAGAGAACAUUUCAACACUGGGUUGCAGCAAGACAUCUUAUAGUCAUAACACAGUUGGUCUCCCUUGUUGCUGUGCCAGGGACAGUGCAAACCACUGAUUCAAAUUCUCCCCAGAUAUAAUAGGUAUUUACAGUUACCAUACAAUUCACAAUGCUCAGGUAGGCAGAUACAAAAAAAAACAAACAAACCAAACUGUCCAUGACAGGGAAAGACAUCUGUUCCUCUUUGCUAGUAGCAGUUUCUCCCAGAACACCCAAUUAUUCAAAUAAUUACAAAAGUAAGUUUUGCUUGAUGGCUUCUGAGCUUCAUUGUUAUGGCACAAAAUUAAAAGAAAGGUGGAUUUUUUGAAGGAGGAGAACCUAAUAUGAAUAUUGUCCUAAGCCAGUAGACAAAGACUGAAAUAAAGGGAAUUAUUUCAUCAGUUAGUCUACAGUAGGAUGAACUUUACUAAAAGUAAAAUGUACAGUGUUGUAUAUCAAACCCCCACAAUUCUCACUGUGGAAAACACUGAGUUGGAUUUAAAUUCAUUCUUGAGAACUUAAUGUGUCACUGUGAGGAAACUUGAAUGACUCUGGAAGUAAUUUUACUAAAAAUCAAUGCAAUUCAUUGCUGAUUUCAGGCUAAUUCACAUAUUUAGGCAUUAUCUCCCACAUUUCCAUCUGUUGUUUGCUUAAUGUGGCCCGUUGUGUUUGUGCUAAGAGAUUAGCAGGUUAGCUAAAAUGUUAAUGUGAUCUCUAACAGGGCCCAGAGAAAAAAAGUGGAAGCAGUGUGUCUGGAUGUUAGAAGCCUAUUAUAAAAAAUUUACAAAUGCUGAAGGAAGUAUUGAUUGCCUUUGGCUUGCAAAGUCUUUUGAUGAGACAAAGACUACACAAGCAUCCAUCAUUCACAAAAAGGAUGCUGGGCAGCUAGACAUUUAAUCUGCCAUUUGUAUCUACCUGCCAAACUUCCCUUCCUCACCUAUUCAGAGAAAACAUAUAUUGCAGAAGCAUUAAUUCUGCUGACAUACAGCAAUAAUAGCCUUACUAACCUUCUGUGGUACAGGCUAGAAUAGGGAUCCAGGGACCUACAGGCCUGUCAGUCUGAACUCUUCAUGGAGCAGAUCAUCUUGAGGGGCAUCAUGCAGCACAUCUGGGACAACCAAGGCAUCAGGCCCAGCUAGCAGGGGUUCACAAAACACCUUGCUUGAUCAACCUGAAUACCUUCUAUGAUGAGGUUACCCACUUAGUGGAUGAGAGAAAGGCUGUGGAUGUCUGCUUGAACCUUAGUAAAGCCUUUGGCACUGUUUCCCACAGCAUUCUCCUGAAGAAACUGGCUGCUCAUGGCUUGGACAAGUGAAGGAUCACUGGGUGAAAGCUGGCUGGAUGGUGAAUGGAGUUACAUCCAGCUGGGAGCCAGUCACAAGUAG